CGUUAACAUUUUCGAAAAAAAAUAUCCAUCCCCAAUUCGUGCGGGCACGCCAUCCUCCGCCGUGCCGUCCUCCCCGCACCCUGGCCUGUCUCCUCUCCGCCGCGCCCUCCUCCCCGCGUCAUCCGAGUCCUCCGGACGCGGUUCGCCGAAGGCGAGGCCCAGGCCGCCGCGCUCCUGGCCCGCGCCGGCCGGUUCGAGCGCACGCCGCCGACCGCGAACAGCUGCUCAUCACGCUCCUCUCCGCCGCGGGAAACGGCCGGGAGGAGGAGGACGCGCGGGAGGCGGGGCAGCGUCCGAUCCGGCCGAGGCUUACGGCGACACGGAUGCGGAGGCUCUGGCCGCGGUCGCUACGCUCCCUCCGUUCACUACCUUCCCGAUGGCUUUAUCUGUUCAAUUGCUUAAUUUGGUUGUCUUGUCUUACCUGAACUGCAAGGGAACCAACAUACAUGGCAUGAUGGAUGGAGAUCAGUAGAUGUUUUUUUGUUCUGUUCACAUGCUUUCUAAUAGUUUCCAUAGGAUUAUAGGCAUGAGCUUUGAGCAAUAGGCAUAAAUCUGUUGUAAUCAAUCAAAGGCAGUGAGAACGUUUACUGAAAUCUUUAGAAGUUGCGAUCCUCUGAAUUGCUUUGAUUGAACGUCCAACGAGGAUCUCAUCUUAUAGUAACUCUGAAACAUUGUAUUGGUAGUUUUUAUCUUUACACUUUUGCCUUCUGUACAUACUGGAUUGCAUUGUUUAGGACAUGACACAGCGCUGCAAGCAGCUCAUGAGAGUAGUUAGCAAACGCAAAUCAUUGUAUAUGUCACUUAUGCUUCUCUUAAUAGAAAAUAGUACUAUUUUGGAGAAGGGCAUCUGGCUGACUUUCAAUAAAACUCUUCAGGUUUUGUUUGGUGAGAUUCUCUUCAGAAAACAAGAUUUGUAUUGGUGGUAGAUCGACAGCAACUGACAGCAUCUUCGUCAUCCGCGGUGGCAGUGCCGUCCGCGCAGAAUGCCUUCUGCGUCCGCGCCUCCGCCACCGACACCGCCACGCAGCCAAUGAUGUCAGCAUGUGGUGAAAAAAGGGCCCAAGUGAAAGGUCGACCAAGCUGUAAAAAUUCAGUGAGAGGAAUUUUUGUGCUCACAGCUCACACCAUGGCGUCCGUUGCCUCUGUUCUUACUUUAUUAUUUUGUUUUUCCCUUCGUCGUUUUUUCACGUCGCCUGACAAGAACAAGAAUUGCAAAGAAGAAGUGAAAAGAAAACACAGAACAAAGGAUGAACGCCAGAGAGCACUACUAUAUAUUUUUCCCCCAAAAUAUGAUGGGCAGUGGUGUGCUUGUUUGCAUUGAUCGCAUGGUGGCCAGCACUUCACCACACAUCUGACGGCGACUGUUUUAUCCAUGAGGUGGAGGAUAAGAGAAGCGCAUCUCUGAAAUUCACAGUUUUGAACCUAAAGAGACACAUCUAGAAAAUGAUUGCACGAGUGGUUCCAGUGUCAUGUACGUCAACAUGGUUGGAGAUUUGGGAUCGGAUGCUGCGCCAAGAGCGAGGGACAGAGGUGCUGAACUAACAGCAGGGGGGAGGGUGAUUCUUCAGGUACCAACAUGGCUGUCGACUAGAGAAUUUAGUUAACCGUUUGCUUUACUUGAAGCUCCAAAUUGUAGUUAUUUUAUUUGUUCACUAAUUUGGUAUAAUCCUAAUCUAGGAGGACUAUGAUUGUAUGAUAUGAGAUCCUGACAUUUAGCAAUAAUAAAAGUCUGACACUGAAUGGUUCUUUUCGGAAGUACAGUUGUAAGAUCUAUGAUUCUAGCUUCGACCUUUAACUGGACAGUACUAAUUGGACAUAUAAUUGAUUAUUUAUGCACAACAAGAUAUUCUGUUUGUUUUGGUUUUUCAAUCAGAUUCAUCUAGCCCUUUGUUGACUUUCUAAUUGUUCCACCCUCUACCUCUGAAACUCAGAAAUCAGAGAAAGGUCAUUGGCAUAUCCCUAUCUCUGACGAAAAUUUGCUAGCGAGGAAGAGGACCAGAAUGUUUUUUCUAUUGUUGGGGAUAUACAUAAUACAUAUAGAUAAAUUUGGACCAUUUAUAACAGAGAUUUCUUGCCAAAAAUAUUAACUCUGUCCAGCAGUGGGCACUGUCAAGGUAAUAACAGGAAUUUGCUGAACCUAAUUGAAAGAAAGAGGGAUGGUAAUCCGAUCGAGAACAUUCUCUAACUAAAAUAGACUUACGAACAAUCAACAAUAUCAAAUAGUUUCAAAUUAACAAAUGUUGUUUGAUUAAAAUACUGAUUUAAGAAUUUGGCGAAUCUAUAAUUCUCUACAUAGAGCCUGUUCGGAAAUGGUCUGGCUCCUCAGAAUCCUCGACUCCGGCUCCUGCUCCCGAAAUGCUGCUCCUCGUAAAAAAUAGCGCUGAAAAAAAACUGUUCGACAGACAGCUCCGCUCCUUGAUUCACUCGUGGCGGGUGGAGGAAACAGAAACGAGCGAGUCGUGUGGCCACUCUGAACCGUUUCCCACUUGGCGGUGGCAGUUCCUUUGUAAAUUUUAUCAACUCCAUGAUAUUGAAGAUCUGAGAUCUGAGAAUUAGCCGCUCCACAAAAUUGCUCAGCAGCCCGCUUCACUCCACGUUUUCAGCUCCGUGGAGCUCAAGCGUUCGGCGCCGCUCCACCAACUCCGGGAGUGGAGUUGAGGAGCAGAGAGAAACCGAACACACCCAUAAUCACUUGGUGCAUUGUUAGACCACUUGGGGACAAUAUCAUCAAUUUCUUGCAUGCUGCAAUAAUGCAAGUUUAAAAAGCCAGUUUCUUGUGUUUCUUAUUAUCUCUGUGUUCAGCUAACUGCCAAGAAUCAUAUAAGGAUGCAUCUAAUGAGGUAGAUUUUGUUUAUGCAUUUUUUAAGUGUAGGGAUGCUGUAUCUGAUUAACAAAACAUUGUUCAACCUUCUAUGAGUCCACCUCUUCCAGAACAGGCAUCCAAGCAUUUUGGUCUGCUACCAGUAAGCUGCCAGAGCAAGAUAGCUGGGAGUCUGGGAUGUCGAGUCGUUGAGCCGUCCAAUGCUAAGUUCGCCGGCGGAAGGAGAACAUCCGUCAAGCCGUCCGUCGCCUGAGGCGGCUACGCCAGAGGUCCGUGGGUUACUACUCCUUUGCUCUUGCUGGCGACUGGCCUCCAGAGUAGCACUUGCUUGAGAUCUGAUCUAGAACUGAAUUGUGCCCUGCUUUGCUGUGGUCGUAUGCUCUGUGUCCACCGAUGAGUUUCAGAUACAGAUUAGGACCAAAAUUGGAGUAGGUUCAGUCGCGCAAAUGUUGUAUCACUUUGUCAUGGGUAUUGUGCUGUUGAAUUGCUUGUUGGACUGUUCAAACUAAAGUCGUCCAGUCAGUUUGCUACAAUGUUCAUUUGUUUACUUUGGAAGUUCUGUAGAAUUUGGGCCUGAUCACUUUCGAAUUUGUCUGUGGUUUGAGAUUAAUCUUUCUGAGAUGUUAGAGAGUGGGUCCAAGGAUGGAUCUGCCCAUCAGUGUGCAGAGGAUCUUCUAAUUCCUGCAGCUAAUCUUGAUUCAUGGAUAUUGUGUUUGCUCUGUGGC